rnacentral:lncRNA from 13 species
AUAAUGGAUACUUCUAAGAGCGAACGGAGCGAAGCCGUUAUUGAUGUACCGAAUGUAUUGGAUAAGACCCGUUUAACAUUGCAGUCAAUGGAGGCAAUCAAAUUUUUAGAAACAAUGGAUACUUCUGAGAGCGAACCCGUUACUAAUUUUCUUUCCUCUGUUUCUAUAGGUACCGAGUGUGUUGGA